rnacentral:rRNA from 1 species
AUGAGGAGAUGGGGGCUGCCAUGGCUCCUCCGCCCAGGAAGAUGCAGUCCCGAAGAAAGUGGAUCAUGUACAUCAACAUCUUCAAGGCUUCUUGCGUGCUACACUGGUCCAAUAAGUAGUGUAUUGAUUCCAUAUCAUCAAAGCUUCCCAAUUCCAAUAUUGACUUCAGCAUAUCGGGAAAGGUGUGAUAUUUUGCAAAUGCAAUUGAGGGGACUUUUGAAUGUUACUCGAAAAGAGAGAAAGAGGAUUAUCGAUUUAUGCACUGAACCAUGGAAUGAUUCAUGUUGUCCAGCAGUCAAUACUAGGCCUAUAUUAUCCAAGAUGUUGGUACUUGGAUGUGCUUUCUGUCUUUCAUGCGAGUCUUGCCCAUCAUAA